AGCAGCUUGCUGCUUUGCUGACGAGUGGCGGACGGGUGAGUAAUGUCUGGGAAACUGCCUGAUGGAGGGGGAUAACUACUGGAAACGGUGGCUAAUACCGCAUAACGUCGCAAGACCAAAGAGGGGGACCUUCGGGCCUCUUGCCAUCAGAUGUGCCCAGAUGGGAUUAGCUAGUUGGUGAGGUAACGGCUCACCAAGGCGACGAUCCCUAGCUGGUCUGAGAGGAUGACCAGCCACACUGGAACUGAGACACGGUCCAGACUCCUACGGGAGGCAGCAGUGGGGAAUAUUGCACAAUGGGCGCAAGCCUGAUGCAGCCAUGCCGCGUGUAUGAAGAAGGCCUUCGGGUUGUAAAGUACUUUCAGCGGGGAGGAAGGUGUUGUGGUUAAUAACCGCAGCAAUUGACGUUACCCGCAGAAGAAGCACCGGCUAACUCCGUGCCAGCAGCCGCGGUAAUACGGAGGGUGCAAGCGUUAAUCGGAAUUACUGGGCGUAAAGCGCACGCAGGCGGUCUGUCAAGUCGGAUGUGAAAUCCCCGGGCUCAACCUGGGAACUGCAUUCGAAACUGGCAGGCUUGAGUCUUGUAGAGGGGGGUAGAAUUCCAGGUGUAGCGGUGAAAUGCGUAGAGAUCUGGAGGAAUACCGGUGGCGAAGGCGGCCCCCUGGACAAAGACUGACGCUCAGGUGCGAAAGCGUGGGGAGCAAACAGGAUUAGAUACCCUGGUAGUCCACGCCGUAAACGAUGUCUACUUGGAGGUUGUGCCCUUGAGGCGUGGCUUCCGGAGCUAACGCGUUAAGUAGACCGCCUGGGGAGUACGGCCGCAAGGUUAAAACUCAAAUGAAUUGACGGGGGCCCGCACAAGCGGUGGAGCAUGUGGUUUAAUUCGAUGCAACGCGAAGAACCUUACCUGGUCUUGACAUCCACAGAAGAAUCCAGAGAUGGAUUUGUGCCUUCGGGAACUGUGAGACAGGUGCUGCAUGGCUGUCGUCAGCUCGUGUUGUGAAAUGUUGGGUUAAGUCCCGCAACGAGCGCAACCCUUAUCCUUUGUUGCCAGCGGUCCGGCCGGGAACUCAAAGGAGACUGCCAGUGAUAAACUGGAGGAAGGUGGGGAUGACGUCAAGUCAUCAUGGCCCUUACGACCAGGGCUACACACGUGCUACAAUGGCGCAUACAAAGAGAAGCGACCUCGCGAGAGCAAGCGGACCUCAUAAAGUGCGUCGUAGUCCGGAUUGGAGUCUGCAACUCGACUCCAUGAAGUCGGAAUCGCUAGUAAUCGUGGAUCAGAAUGCCACGGUGAAUACGUUCCCGGGCCUUGUACACACCGCCCGUCACACCAUGGGAGUGGGUUGCAAAAGAAGUAGGUAGCUUAACCUUCGGGAGGGCGCUUACCACUUUGUGAUUCAUGACUGGGGUGAAGUCGUAACAAGGUAACCGUAGGGGAACCUGCGGUUGGAUCACCUCCUUACCUUAAAGAA
rnacentral:rRNA from 1 species